UACGAAGGGGGCUAGCGUUGCUCGGAAUCACUGGGCGUAAAGGGUGCGUAGGCGGGUCUUUAAGUCAGGGGUGAAAUCCUGGAGCUCAACUCCAGAACUGCCUCUGAUACUGAGGAUCUUGAGUUCGGAAGAGGUGAGUGGAACUCCGAGUGUAGAGGUGAAAUUCGUAGAUAUUCGGAGGAACACCAGUGGCGAAGGCGGCUCACUGGCUCGGUACUGACGCUGAGGUGCGAAAGCGUGGGGAGCAAACAGG
rnacentral:rRNA from 1 species